UGGCUCAGAACGAACGCUGGCGGCAGGUCUUAGGCAUGCAAGUCGAACGGAUGACAGAGAGCUUGCUCUCUGAAGUCAGUGGCGCACGAGUGAGUAACGCGUGGGAAACUGCCCUUCACUGGGGAAUAACGUUUGGAAACGAACGCUAAUACCGCAUACGCCCGCAAGGGGAAAGAUUUAUCGGUGAUGGAUGUGCCCGCGUUGGAUUAGCUUGUUGGUGGGGUAAUGGCCUACCAGGGCGAUGAUCCAUAGCUGGUCUGAGAGGACGAUCAGCCACGCUGGAACUGAGACACGGUCCAGACUCCUACGGGAGGCAGCAGCUAAGAAUAUUGGGCAAUGGAGGAAACUCUGACCCAAGCCAUGCCGCGUGAAUGAAGAAGGCCUUCGGGUUGUAAAGUUCUUUUAGUCAUGAAGAUGAUGACAGUAGUGACAGAAAAGCACCGGCUAACUUCGUGCCAGCCGCCGC
rnacentral:rRNA from 1 species